AUGUAGUUUUUAAAUGGACUUAAACUUUAAGUUGAGUGCCUUACUCUUUUUAAAAGUACUUUUUUAAAAUUGCAGUUUUAUUUAACAUGAGUUGCUAUGAGUGUAGCAUGGAAUUUGGUUUGAGACAUGGACUGAAAGAAAAGUUUAAUGUAAAUUAUGGCAGCUUUUGCCACAGAUCAGGGCUUAGGACUGUAUCUGAACUUGGCUGGCAUCAUAAAUACUGUAUUAGGCCAACCUGAGCCAAUACUCAAUUUUAUUAAAUAUAAUCAAGAUUCAUCUUUAUUAGGUAAGCCUAAUUAGGAACUGAAUUCACUCAUACAAAAACAUCUGGCCGGGAGUGGUGGCACACUCCUUUAAUCCCAGCACUCGAGAGGCAGAGGCAGGCAGAUUUCUGAGUUCGAGGCCAGCCUGGUCUACAGAGUUGAGUUCCAGGACAGCCAGGGCUAUACAGAGAAACCCUGUCUCAAAAAAAAAAAAAAAAACUGAAGAUAUGUUAGAAUUCAUUUUACACAGCCUCUGCCCUUCAUAUGGAACGUGAAAUAUAAAGUUACUUUUAAAACCAAACUAAUGUUUUCAGGUAACCUAGAGUUUAUAAAUGAAAUUGGGGGCUGGAGAGAUGGCUCAGUGGUUAAGAGCACCGACUGCUCUUCCUAAGGUCCUGAAUUCAAAUUCCAGCAACCACAUGGUGGCUCACAACCAUCUGCAAUGAGAUCUGACGUCCUCUUCUGGUGCAUCUGAAGACAGCUACAGUGUACUUACAUAUAAUAAUAAAUAAAUCUUUUAAAAAAAAAGAAAUGAAAUUGCAGGUUCAUCUUCAAGGUAGCAGCUCCUUUCAGUUAACAUAGGACGGCUUCAGUAUUUACCUGCUGAACCCUGUAUGUCAUCAUUUUAAUAUCCAAGUCCAGUUCUUCCAUAGUCUCAUAUAGCAACCAGUGGUCAAUGGAGAGAAGGGUAUGGUCAUGUGACUGAAGUUCCCAGCAAUUGGCAAGUGAAGGCUAGAAGAUGAGUCCAAAGUCAUCUUCACCUAUAGCAAAUUUAAAGCCAUACAUAAGACCCUGCCCCAGUAGAGAGGGAAUGUUCUAGGCUGGGAAUAAUAGUUUAAUCAGACGUGUCCCAGGAAAAUAUAUGAAAGGUCUAGUACUUGACCAAUGAAUCUCUCAGAGUUAAAAAGCCUCUAUAGCCAUAAGUGCUUUGAUGUGUUUUCAGAACUCCUAAUGGAGUGAUUUCCUGCCGCACACCUUUCACCAGCACCAAGAGAAUCAGAAUGGAAGAGAUGAGUUUAGCAUUAGUCUUAUGGACUGGAAACUUUGUGCACAUAGGCCUUCGCACUUUGACACAUGAACAGUCUGCCUUUCAACUCCAUACUAUCGUCUGUUCUCUCACUUUAUACUCUCCCCUUUAUUGGUACUAUAGAAGCUGUUUUCUUACAAGUUGAAUGUACGAUAAUGGUUCUGUCUUAAUGACUCAUGUUGAAUAAAGGCAUACGAUUUU
rnacentral:lncRNA from 1 species